rnacentral:rRNA from 1 species
CUUGAAUUUCAUAAGAGGUCCAGCCUGCCCAGUGACACAAUUAAACGGCCGCGGUACCCUGACCGUGCGAAGGUAGCAUAAUCACUUGUUCUCUAAAUAAGGACUUGUAUCAACGGCAUCACGAGGGUUACACUGUCUCCUCUUUUUAAUCAGUGAAACUGACUUUCCCGUGAAGAGGCGGGAAUAGAGAUACAAGACGAGAAGACCCCAUGGAGCUUUAAACCCAAUAGUUACCUCUAUUUACUACUACUACUUAAUCAAGAAGGCCUAUCUACUGGUUUUAGGUUGGGGUGACCCUGGAGUAAAACUUAACCUCCAUGAUGAAUAGAAUUUAUUCUAAUCCCAGAGCCACUGCUCUACGAAUCAAAAUUUUGACAUAAACUGAUCCGCCUAGCGAUCAACGAACCAAGUUACCCUGGGGAUAACAGCGCAAUCCAUUUCAAGAGCCCCUAUCGACAAAUGGGUUUACGACCUCGAUGUUGGAUCAGGGUAUCCCAGUGGUGCAGCCGCUACUAAAGGUUUGUUUGUUCAACAAUUAAAACCCU